rnacentral:sRNA from 1 species
UGGGCAUUCACGCCGGGACUGCCAACUCACCAGGUUAUUUAUAGUGACAAGAGAGUGAGACAGUGGGCUUGAAAGUGUUUUCCAGACCAAGGCUCUGUGCCACAUAUAGGUGGAUUAACUGGCAAAGGCAGGAAUCCAUUGAAGGGGCCAUCUCCACAUUCAGAACCAAGCUUCUGCUUUGUACUCUGGAAAAUGCCAGCCACCCAUGAGGAGAGACCACCCUGCUAGCCACAGGGAGAGGCUAUGUGAAAAGAAAGAGAUGCCUGGCCAGCUCUAGCUCUUCAGCUCAUCCCAGCUGAGCUACCAGACACAUGAGUGGGAAAGCCCUUAGGAAGUUCCAGCUCCAGCAGACACCAUACUGAACAGAGGAGAGAUAAGCCAUCCCCACGGAGCACUGCCAAAAUGACGGCAUUGUGAACAAAUAAAUGAUCAUUGUUUUAAGGCA